UCCCCCUCCCACGAAACCCUAGCCAGCCACUGUUCCCAUGCCAUCCUCCCUUGCUCUCCCUGCCGCUGCCUUUUCCCCUUCCUCCCCUGCUAUGGUGGCUCGUGGCUUGAGCCUCGCCGCGCCGCAACUGCCCGCCCACCGAUGCCUCUCGCUGGAUCUGGCGAGCUUGUCAGGAGAAGGGAGAAGGAGCUUGGGGGAACGGCGGCGGCGGCAGCCGAAAGCAGGCGCGGUGGCAUGAGCUAGGGCUGGAAAUCGAUGGGACGCCACUAAUCUGGUCCCAGCGCAACACCCCAUUCACGAGAUUAGAGCUUGAGGUUGACGGCGAGGUGGUUGAUCCCGGCUCAGGAAAUUGGGCGGUCCGGACGGAUGUGCAGAGGUAAUUCUCCAAAGUAAACCUCCCCUCAUGUCCCAGCCACUUGAUUGUUCUUGCUGCCAUCCUCAAGAGCAAUGGAUCUAGCGAGUGGAUCUGCCUGGAACUUGUUCGUUCUUGAGUGCAUUCUGGGAGCACUGCAUCUAGCAAGUGGAUCUUUGCUUGUAUCCAUUUUUGCUUUGACGUCACUCUGCUGGUAUUUGGUGAAAAAAAAAGACAGGUAUACUUUCUUCCCUUUCCCCCACCUCUAAUGGUUUGUGCCUGCAAUGGAGCAAUCGAUAUGGUCAAAAAUGUUUUACCCACUGCAAUGAUCCUUCAGCUGAUAACACUCGGUUUCAGCAUGGUCAGGAUGGAUCGAUUUGUUGCAGAACAACAGAUCCAUCACCAAGCAGUCCAUUGCCAUCUCCACCAUGGGUUCCUUCAUUCUUAGUAGUCCGUUGCCAUCGUCAUCUUGGGCUCCUUAAUUCUUAGUGCAUGUAGAUUGCAGACCCGUUGGUGCAAGACAUGCUCUGCAAUGCAGAAAACUUCGCACCUCUGGCUCAAGUUAGUAUGGGAAAAGGUGGUGGCUGCUGGACUAUCAAUUGUCUGGCUUACUAUAUUUCUUGCAAUUCUGUAUACACACCCAGUGAUAACUUUAGGUUGCACGAGUUGAAAUUAUCUAGCAAUCAAACUUAGUGGCUUUUUACGAUUUACUGUCAAGUGAUAGAGACUCCCAUUACCUGACCUUGUACUGAAUAUAUAUGUCUCUUUCAGAGCUGCAAAUAGGGAUAGCAUUUUUUUACUAGAUGUUAAUCAUAGAUUUGCAUGGUAUGCAAAUUGCGCUUAACAUCUUCUCUUGAAACUAAAUUGUAGCUGUGGCUUUUCUUCCUUGCCAUUCGUGUUAUGGAUUGCACGAAUGAGUGCUGUAUAUAUUUUUUUUCGUGCCUUGCCAUUCAUAUUAAGGAUUGCAUGAAUGACUGCACAGCUUUUUAUUCUUUCUGUUGUUGAUGCACUGACCUUAGUUUCCUUUUGGCAAUGAUUGGCUCAUUAUCUUCAAAGGGUUUAGGUGGUAUGCGCUGCUGGGAAAAAGAUGAAAUUUGUCACUAGCAAAUACUUAAGGUAUAAGUUGUGGUGCAGUCCGAUUUGUAGCUAAUCUGGGGAUGAGCGACAUUUUUCUGAAUCAGAUUCAUUCAUUGCAAUAUAAAGCUUUAAAGGGCAAUAUAAGCAAUUUCGUUCUAGCUGAUGAUUAGUGGAUAGUAGCAAUGUAGUUUAAUUUUAGAAAGAAAAGGAGUGAUGCAUAGGGAAGGAAAACCUUUUGUUCAAAACAAAAUUAUAUCAUUAGAUUUCUCAAGACCUUGCUGUUUUGUGUUUUGCUAUUCAUUGAGCAUUUUACCUAAGGCCUAGUUGAACUAAAUUUUGCUUGAACUCUUGAACCCAGCCUCAUCCCGUCAGGACCUCAUCUUCGAUGCAAUUCCUAUGCAUCCAACAGCAAGAAAGUGGCGUCGAUUAAUCCCUAAGAGCGAGGGAUCGGAGUGGAUUGAGAAAAAAUAAUUCAACACCACAAUAAAAAUGAAAUAAAUUAUCUCUAAAUCUGCUGUCAAAUGACAAUUGCGUCUCAUCAAAGAACAUGAAACUUGGUUGGAUGUUUUGACUUAGUAAAAUUUUUAGGAUCCCUCAUUACAUGGAUCUAGUAUAAGCUGUUACCCUCUAGGGUUUAUUGUUUAUAGGGUAUAUUAUAUGAAUGCCUUUAUGAUGGUGACAUUUACAGGGGUAACCAA